rnacentral:tRNA from 1 species
GGGCCCUUAGCUCAACUGGCAGAGCAAUGGACUUUUAAUCCAUGGGUUCAGGGUUUGCUCCCCUGGGAGCCCA